rnacentral:lncRNA from 1 species
AUAUUGUUUGUUUACGUCUGUAAUUACUGUUGUUUUGAACUUGACAAUUUAUAUUGAAAUUGGGGUGAAUAAUAUAUGUUCACAAAGCCCAACAUGAAUUGGCAUAAAUCAAGCCCUUGUUUGAUGAAUGGUUGAGCUUCUUUGAUCUUUAGGGGUUCAGGAUGGUUCCUGAUUGUUGAAUUAAGGGCGUUGUCAUAUCCUGUCGCCUUGGGGAGCGGAUUUCGCUAUCACCUCUUGGGACUGGCCAUGAGAAAAACAUUUUUAUAUUUAACAAAUAUAUGCUUAUGUGUUCAUGUGUGGUUUUUUUGGGUUUGUUUUAAAGAAUUAUACUUGUUUGUCAUGUUUAUGGAUGAAUUCUUGACAAUUAACAAUGCAAAUGGGGGGCACUAACUAUGUUUGCAAAACCCAAAAUUAAUUGUAGUAUAUCAAGCCCUUUUGAUUGUUUGCAGUUGAGCCUUUCAACUCUUGUGAGUUGUGAGGCUCCUGCUUGGCAAAGGGCGGCGUCGUAUCCUGUCGCCUUGGGGAGCAGUAUCUGCCAUUACCUCUUGGGACUGGCCAUGAGAAAAACAUUUAUUCUUAUGUUACAAUUUUGAUUCUUUUUUCUUUGUAUUAUUAUGCUGAUUAAUGUUUUUUGUAUUGCAG